rnacentral:rRNA from 1 species
CGGGAGGCAGCACCAGUGAGGAAUUUUGCGCAAUGGGGGGAACCCUGACGCAGCAACGCCGCGUGAGUGAUGAAGGCUUUCGGGUCGUAAAGCUCUGUCAAGUGGGAAGAACCUAUGCAGUGUUAAUAUCACUGUAUACUGACGGUACCACUGAAGGAAGCACCGGCUAACUCCGUGCCAGCAGCCGCGGUAAUACGGGGGGGGCAAGCGUUAUUCGGAAUCAUUGGGCGUAAAGGGCACGUAGGCGGCUUGGUAAGUCAGAUGUGAAAGCCCGGGGCUUAACCCCGGAAGUGCAUUUGAUACUGUCAGGCUUGAGUAUGGGAGAGGGAAGGGGAAUUCCUGGUGUAGAGGUGAAAUUCGUAGAUAUCAGGAGGAACACCGGUGGCGAAGGCGACUUCCUGGACCAAUACUGACGCUGAGGUGCGAAGGCGUGGGUAGCAAACAGGAUUGAUACCCCGGUAGUC